UGAGGAUAUGCAGGGCAUUUUGGCAUGA
rnacentral:piRNA from 1 species